rnacentral:piRNA from 1 species
UGUCCAUUCGUUGGUGCUGGCCCUCAC